UAACGUAGCUAACGCGUGAAGUUGACCGCCUGGGGAGUACGGUCGCAAGAUUAAAACUCAAAGGAAUUGACGGGGACCCGCACAAGCGGUGGAUGAUGUGGAUUAAUUCGAUGCAACGCGAAAAACCUUACCUACCCUUGACAUGUAUGGAACCCUGCUGAAAGGUGGGGGUGCCCGAAAGGGAGCCAUAACACAGGUGCUGCAUGGCUGUCGUCAGCUCGUGUCGUGAGAUGUUGGGUUAAGUCCCGCAACGAGCGCAACCCUUGUCCCUAGUUGCUACGCAAGAGCACUCUAGGGAGACUGCCGGUGACAAACCGGAGGAAGGUGGGGAUGACGUCAAGUCCUCAUGGCCCUUAUGGGUAGGGCUUCACACGUCAUACAAUGGUCGGAACAGAGGGUCGCCAACCCGCGAGGGGGAGCCAAUCCCAGAAAACCGAUCGUAGUCCGGAUCGCACUCUGCAACUCGAGUGCGUGAAGCUGGAAUCGCUAGUAAUCGCGGAUCACCAUGCCGCGGUGAAUACGUUC
rnacentral:rRNA from 1 species